rnacentral:rRNA from 1 species
AUUGAACGCUGGCGGCAUGCCUUACACAUGCAAGUCGAACGGCAGCGCGGGGCAACCUGGCGGCGAGUGGCGAACGGGUGAGUAAUAUAUCGGAACAUACCCUAGAGUGGGGGAUAACGUAGCGAAAGUUACGCUAAUACCGCAUACGCACUAAGGUGGAAAGUGGGGGAUCUUCGGACCUCAUGCUCAUGGAGUGGCCGAUAUCUGAUUAGCUAGUUGGUGAGGUAAAGGCUCACCAAGGCGACGAUCAGUAGCUGGUUUGAGAGAACGACCAGCCACACUGGAACUGAGACACGGUCCAGACUCCUACGGGAGGCAGCAGUGGGGAAUUUUGGACAAUGGGGGCAACCCUGAUCCAGCAAUGCCGCGUGAGUGAAGAAGGCC